AGGCGCCCCUAUGGUCAGCAUUUUUUAGCAAUAAAAUAUUUUUUAAUAGACAGCAAGCCAAAAACAUGCGUUCAGCAUUUCUGUGAUCCAAAUAAUUCAUCGGUGAUCAUUUUUUAAUACAAAGGAGGAGUAUUGAGGAAAAAAUACCCAAAUUUGGAAAGAGACAAAAAGAUAAGUACAUAUUUUUCAAUGUUUUACUGAGGCAUUACCUUAUAUGUCCACCUAAGAAUUUUCUAAUUCUUCAGGAUAAUGUAGGUUUGUCUGACUUACUGUUUACUGUUGAUUGGGGUGUUUCUAUAUAUUUAGCUGUUAACUCACAGAAAACAUAAUGAUGCAAAUGCUACAAUAAAUAAUGAUGCAAAUAAAUUUUGUCUAGUAGAUAUGCAAAUGUAUUUUCUUUUUAUGUAACAGAGUUUACAAGAUAAAGUUCACAGUAUUGCCCUAGAGGACAUUAACCAGUUUUGCACAUAAUUUAGCAAUUUUAUCCUAGCCUUCUUUCUUUUAGUGGCUAUAAAUACAAGUGUUUCUCCUUUGAACCAGAUUUGCCACCUUGCUAAUUCCCUCAUGGACAUAUUAAAAAAAUCUUUAACGUCCUUAAAAAUCAAACAAACAACAACCAAAAACCUGAAUACUACUUUUCACCAUAACUGGUUAUAAUCACCUGAAGCUGGUAAAUGACCAUAAACUUUGAGUUCUCCAUUUGCAGAAACUUUUUUUCUUAUUGAAGACCUUUUCCUGACCACAUACAAUAGAAAUUUUUUAACCCACAGCACAGAUUUAUGGACUCAUUCUGUCUUAUCCAGAGUUCUGGAUAACUGAACAAUGAACUUAACUGAACAAGGAGUCCAUGAAUUCCUCAUCCACCAUGAUAUGUUCUCCUUAAAUGACCAACUUAAAGAAUUUCUUCACUCCUGUGUGCACUCUCGUCCCUUUCUGGUAUGGAGAGUGUCAUUGUUGACAGGGUGUCACAGCAGCACCAACAUUUUGCUGACCAGCCAGAUGGGUUUUGACAGUUUCACUGAAAAAGGACACAGUGUGAUCGAGAUACCAAUAUUAAGAGUGAAUACAAAACAUAAGAAGUGACAAAAGCUCACCUAAGACCUAUAAUAAAUGA